UUAUUAUUUUGAAUGACCUUUCAUUGCAUAAUUCCGAGGUAACCUUGCUGCGUAAUUAUAUUUGCACUUACAGAACGCUGCAUCACAGUUCCCUUAUUGGUUUGAAAUUCCAUUAAAUAUAUUACAGGAGCUCCCAGGUUAAGCUUGAUUUAAAUUUGCAUACAUUUUCAUAUAUUUAGCAGAAAUAAAAGAAGGCUAGCAGCUACCCCAAAGUCAUUAAGGCAGUAAGUUCUCCAGGAAGACAGAUCUGGAGUAAAAUUCGGGAAAAUGAAAAUAUCGCCCUAAACAAGUUUAUACAGGUAGUCCUCGACUUACAACAGUUCAUUUAGUGACUGUUCGAAGUCACAACGGUGCUGGAAAAAGGGACUUAUGCAGUGGUGGAAUGCUGCCAGUUUAACAACUGGUUCGGUGAGCAGGGGUACGCCUGAGGCGCCUGCAUGCAGCACUGAAAAUGGAGCAUUUGGAAGCUCAGCUGCUUACCUUCCAAGUCAGCAACGGAGAACCUGGUUCCCACCCAACCCCCUAUUUCCCAGCCAGGACUUGCACACUGAAGCAGGUGAGAAUGAGGGGGGCUGGAGAGGGGGGGAAAGGAAAAA